GUGCUCACUUUGGCGGCAUAGAUAUUAAAAACUGGAAUAAUACAGAGGUUAGCAUGGCUCCUGUGCAUGCAUGACAUGCAAAUUCUGAAGCAUUUCAUAUUUUU
rfam:TPA: Bos taurus chromosome 10, whole genome shotgun sequence.